GAUGAACGCUGGCGGCGUGCCUAAUACAUGCAAGUCGAGCGAACAGACGAUGAGCUUGCUCCUCUGACGUUAGCGGCUGACGGGCGAGUAACACGUGGAUAACCUACCUAUAAGACUGGGAUAACUUCGGGAAACCGGAGCUAAUACCGGAUAAUAUAUUGAACCGCAUGGUUCAAUAGUGAAAGACGGAUUUGCUGUCACUUAUCGAUGGAUUCGCGCCCCAUUUGCUAGUUGGUAAGGUAACGGCUUACCAAGGCAACGAUCCGUACCAGACCUGAGAGGGUGAUCGGCCACACUGGAACUGAGACACGGUCCAGACUCCUACGGGAGGCAGCAGUAGGGAAUCUUCCGCAAUGGGCGAAAGCUUGACGGAGCAACGCCGCGUGAGUGAUGAAGGUCUUCGGAUCGUAAAACUCUGUUAUUAGGGAAGAACAAAUGUGUAAGUAACUAUGCACGUCUUGACGGUACCUAAUCAGAAAGCCACGGCUAACUACGUG
rnacentral:rRNA from 1 species